UUUUCAAGGUCUUAAAGAAUGUUGAAAUUUAAAGCACCAUUCUCAGGCUACUGAGAACGAUUAUCUCAUUUAUAUUGGGGCCAGGCUAUAUUACAGUAGAAAAUUAAUCUCGUGGGCCUGACUUCAGACUGGAGACCAAAGCUGUCUGGAUACCGGAGGAGACAUCCUAAAGGGGUAGUUUUAGACGGAAAUGACUGGCCAGACCCCAUGGUAAAAGGCCAGAAGAGGAGGAGGCUGCUGAGAAGGAAGGACAGGGGUACUCUGGUGGGGAGACCAGCCCCCUGUCCUUGCUCCCCCUCUGAGAAGAGACCCACCUGAGACCUCAACACAUCAGACCAGCCCAACUGCUCACAUUUAUCGUGCCAAGCAGCUCUCCUGCCACCUUCAGAUUGGAGCUCCUGGACUGAGUCCUGCCCAGAUCUCCGUGGCUUGGUGGCUGAAGCCUGACGCUGCCCGAACAUCUCAGAGGUCUCCUGGACCAUCACGGACACCGAGUUUUGGGUAAAUUUACGG